UCGUCAGAAACGUUUGUGAGUUAUCCAGAUAAUUUUAAUAAAAUAUUUUAAAGUCAUGUAAUUGACCGAAAUAUAGAUUCCAGGCGCUACUGGUCCUGAAGUACCAGAAGGCGCGUUCGGUGUAAUCUCUAGUAUUUCGAUACUCCUGGUUCUUUCUUGACAGUAAGGAUAAACAAUGUGCAGUCACAGUAAGUCACAUAUUUCCAAAAUAUCUGGGGGGGCUAUUACGGUUUCUGAAACGAGGUGAAAAUUACAAAAAACCGUGAUAGCCCCCCUGAGAAGGUGCAAUUGGUGUUGCAAAAGCGAAUUGGUAUUUAAUCAACGAGAUUCAGAGACGGAAGCACAAGCCCAGGAUGAUCCUUCCCGAGAAAGCAGUCUCCGUACUUUGUCUGGAACCAAGAUUCAUAACUCCAGCGAUUAGAACCUGUUCGGAUGCACUCAAAUGCAAAGUUUGUCGUGCCAUGAGAUAUUUUCCUCCUGAACAAUGCAGUAUGGUCAAUGUUAAAGUGAUCGGGUGUUUACUGUUUGUAUGUGAUGGCGACACACUAUAGUUAUACCGGUGAUUCAAGAACAGAUUGGAAUAUUCCAUCUGCGACUUGCUCUCAAUGUUUAAGGUUGGUAGGCGUUGUUGCAGCAUAUCCAGGUCAUUUUGUUGCUUAUUGUAGACGACUUUCAGGACUAUGGGAGCAAUACAAUGAUCUAAAUACUACAGUAAAAUCUUGUUCACAUAAUGAGACAAUUAGUCCUAUUGCUGCAGUUUAUAUCAUAUAUGAAGAUAAUUAAAUAUGAUUGCAUCGUUCGAUGUAGACUGUCAUAAUCAUUUAAAUUUGACAUAUUCGUCUAUAAGACCGCCACGACGCGGAAAAAACAAGAUCUAACGAUUGAAAGUGAUAGAGGCACAGUUGUCGAGAGCAAUCAUGUCACUCCAGAACCGAGUAAUGUAGCGGCAAAUCAUCAUCGUCAUCAGCUCAGAAUCAAAACAAAACACCAACAUGAUUCAAACAGGCAUUCAAAUAAUCAAUUACUUAACACCACCAAAAGGCGUAAUUCCUUAAUUUUUAAUACAAAUAGUAUGCUAUACGGGAUUCCUAUGAAGAUGUAUGUAUACGCGAGUACGAACGUAUUAUUUCAUCCAAGUUAAAUAUGUGGAAUGCAAGUUUAAAUUCUCGUCCCUUUUUGCAGACAAAACUCAGAUCCAUGCAUCGUCUUUUCAUUGUUAGAGCCAAUUUGUAUUUUACAGCACGUAUACAUACAUGAUGUCAUACGUAUUCCUCUAAUGAGUCUUAAUAUAUAAUCUGUACACAACAAACGUCCGUAUCUCUUAUUAUUCUAAUUGAAAUGUACAAAGCUUGAUACGUAAGAGAGUCUAAUACUUAGGAGAGAUAGUUACAAAAGUGAGAAAAUAAUACAUAUACAAAUAGUAGGAUUCUUAACUUAUGUCUAUGGCCGCGAUAAUAACAUCUUAUUUGUUUAUAUAUAUACAUAUAUACAUAUAUAUAUAUUUGUAUGAAGAACAGCGAUACAGCCGAAUAAUGAAAAGUACAAUUGUGCAAUAUGUAUCAAUGGUUCUAACUGCGUGAUAGAAGUACUUUGAUCGAUAACAUUAAGUACAUAUUUUAAGUAAUAAAUGUGUAAUAAUUUGGAUAAUCUUUACACUACAACAAA